ACUACUUCAUAUUGACUUUCCACCCUUGCUGGGUGUUGCCUUGAUUCUUGGUACAUUUGAUCAAGAAUUGAAAGUUCUUCAUGAGAAAAGUGCAGCUAUAGCAACAACAGACAGGAGCAGAGGAGUAAACAGUAAACAAACCCUUUUGUUUCCUGAACCAUCCCAAAGGGGCAGUUGAUCGUCCUUGUAAUAAAUCAGAAGCCUGAGAAUUUUCAUGUUGUCAACAUGGGGUGUCUCAAAUGUGCGAAUAAGCAGCUGAUUGGACUCAUAAAAGCAAGGGGAGGAUCACAUACUCGUUACUCAUGCUAAUUAGACCCGCAAUUUGUGAUGCACAGGCCAGUAUACUCCUGAUGAUCCAGUAAGCAGCUGUCG